rnacentral:rRNA from 1 species
AUCGAACGCUGGCGGGAUGCCUUACACAUGCAAGUCGAACGGCAGCACGGGUGCUUGCCCCUGGUGGCGAGUGGCGAACGGGUGAGUAAUACAUCGGAACAUGUCCUGUAGUGGGGGAUAGCCCGGCGAAAGCCGGAUUAAUACCGCAUACGAUCUACGGAUGAAAGCGGGGGACCUUCGGGCCUCGCGCUAUAGGGUUGGCCGAUGGCUGAUUAGCUAGUUGGUGGGGUAAAGGCCUACCAAGGCGACGAUCAGUAGCUGGUCUGAGAGGACGACCAGCCACACUGGGACUGAGACACGGCCCAGACUCCUACGGGAGGCAGCAGUGGGGAAUUUUGGACAAUGGGCGAAAGCCUGAUCCAGCAAUGCCGCGUGUGUGAAGAAGGCCUUCGGGUUGUAAAGCACUUUUGUCCGGAAAGAAAUCCUUGGCCCUAAUACGGUCGGGGGAUGACGGUACCGGAAGAAUAAGCACCGGCUAACUACGUGC